AAAACAAGGAAGAAAAAAGGCUGAUGAGGAUGAAGACGUGAAGAAAAGAGACUUGUUUUCUUGAGGAAGAACCUCUUAAUUUUGGAGAUAAACAGUUAUUUUACUUCUAAGCAACUUAUGCAAGUUAGGAACUGAACCAUCAUGUGGUGGGCAAAGAGGAGAUGGAAUUUCCCAGCAAUAUCAUCUGCAUCAUCAAAAUGAGCUCCCGCUCCUCAGAAAUCCUCCUCUCCAAAACCUGGCAGUAACACCCUGAGGAUGGGGGGAAGGAUGUGUGGC